rnacentral:rRNA from 1 species
CUUUUUCCACAUGCAAGUCGGACGGCAGCACAGAGAAGCUUGCUUCUUGGGUGGCGAGUGGCGAACGGGUGAGUAACAUAUCGGAACGUACCGAGUAGUGGGGGAUAACUGAUCGAAAGAUCAGCUAAUACCGCAUACGUCUUGAGAGAGAAAGCAGGGGACCUUCGGGCCUUGCGCUAUUCGAGCGGCCGAUAUCUGAUUAGCUAGUUGGUGGGGUAAAGGCCUACCAAGGCGACGAUCAGUAGCGGGUCUGAGAGGAUGAUCCGCCACACUGGGACUGAGACACGGCCCAGACUCCUACGGGAGGCAGCAGUGGGGAAUUUUGGACAAUGGGCGCAAGCCUGAUCCAGCCAUGCCGCGUGUCUGAAGAAGGCCUUCGGGUUGUAAAGGACUUUUGUCAGGGAAGAAAAGGCUGUUGCUAAUACCAGCGGCUGAUGACGGUACCUGAAGAAUAAGCACCGGCUAACUACGUGCCAGCAGCCGCGGUAAUACGUAGGGUGCGAGCGUUAAUCGGAAUUACUGGGCGUAAAGCGGGCGCAGACGGUUACUUAAGCAGGAUGUGAAAUCCCCGGGCUCAACCCGGGAACUGCGUUCUGAACUGGGUGACUCGAGUGUGUCAGAGGGAGGUAGAAUUCCACGUGUAGCAGUGAAAUGCGUAGAGAUGUGGAGGAAUACCGAUGGCGAAGCAACCUCCUGGGAUAACACUGACGUUCAUGCCCGAAAGCGUGGGUAGCAAACAGGAUUAGAUACCCUGGUAGUCCACGCCCUAAACGAUGUC